rnacentral:rRNA from 1 species
CCUACGGGUGGCAGCAGUGGGGAAUAUUGGACAAUGGGCGAAAGCCUGAUCCAGCCAUGCCGCGUGUGUGAAGAAGGCCUUCGGGUUGUAAAGCACUUUCAGUGGGGAAGAAAGCCUUGGGGCUAAUACCCUCGAGGAAGGACAUCACCCACAGAAGAAGCACCGGCUAACUCCGUGCCAGCAGCCGCGGUAAUACGGAGGGUGCGAGCGUUAAUCGGAAUUACUGGGCGUAAAGCGCGCGUAGGCGGUCUGAUAAGCCGGUUGUGAAAGCCCCGGGCUCAACCUGGGAACGGCAUCCGGAACUGUCAGGCUAGAGUGCAGGAGAGGAAGGUAGAAUUCCCGGUGUAGCGGUGAAAUGCGUAGAGAUCGGGAGGAAUACCAGAGGCGAAGGCGGCCUUCUGGACUGACACUGACGCUGAGGUGCGAAAGCGUGGGUAGCAAACAGGAUUAGAUACCCCUGUAGUC